rnacentral:rRNA from 1 species
GUGGGGAAUCUUGCGCAAUGGGCGAAAGCCUGACGCAGCCAUGCCGCGUGGAUGAUGAAGGUCUUAGGAUUGUAAAAUCCUUUCACCGGUGAAGAUAAUGACUGUAGCCGGAGAAGAAGCCCCGGCUAACUUCGUGCCAGCAGCCGCGGUAAUACGAAGGGGGCUAGCGUUGCUCGGAUUUACUGGGCGUAAAGGGCGCGUAGGCGGACAUUUAAGUCAGGGGUGAAAUCCCGGGGCUCAACCUCGGAACUGCAUUUGAUACUGGGUGUCUUGAGUAUGAGAGAGGUGUGUGGAACUCCGAGUGUAGAGGUGAAAUUCGUAGAUAUUCGGAAGAACACCAGUGGCGAAGGCGACACACUGGCUCAUUACUGACGCUGAGGCGCGAAAGCGUGGGGAGCAAACAGGAUUAGAAACCCGGGUAGUCC